GAGCGAUGGUUCCACCAGUUGGAGGUGCGGAACUUUAGCAGCAGCUGCUUAUCCCUCUGCAAACCAAGGUUUGUGGUUGAUACAGAUUUUCAAUACAUAAUUGAUAAAGUACUGUUAUGGCACAUGGAUUAAGGAAAAUAUGACCACAUGGUUAGAGACAGGUGUGUAGAGCAGAAAGCAAAGAGUAGUGGUAAAAGGAAGUUUCUUGGCCUUGGAUGUUGUAGUGAGUGGUGUUCAACAGGGUUCUUUCUUAUGUAUACAUAAAUUAUCUGGAUUUAGGACUUAAGGGAACAAUAUUGAAAUUUGUUGAUGGACAAAAUUGAAGGGAAUGGAAAAAUUGUGAUGAGGAAUGUAAAGACUGCAGAAAGACAGAAUGCUAGUAGGAUGGGCAAGUACGUGGCAGAUAUAGUUCAAUUUUGAAAAAUGUGAAGAGUUUUGGGGGCUCAGUCAGGUGUCUGACACCUGCAGAAACCCAUCAUCAUUCUUAAACCUACAGUAGUGCAAUUUAAUCAUAAGAAAUGCAAGUACAUCUUAAGCAAUGAGAUUUUAAAUUGGUAGUGGAGCAGAGACCUUGGUGUGCAAAAGAUUAUAAAGGCUCAAUAGAUUAUUUUCACUGGUAGGCAAAUUCAUGACUAGCGAUUUUAGAUUUUUAAAUUUUAAAUUAACACAAAAUAAUUAAUUGGGAAAUAAGACAACAUUUAUAUACAUAGCAUGGUUGGUGGCAAAAUCUAUCAACUAAUUUCGAGAAGAAAAUACAUAGAUGCUUGAAAAAGAUGACUAAGAUAUAUAGUAGAAAACAGGAUAGAUGGCCUUAGAUGUUUCAUGGGGGGAAAAAGAGAUUUGGUGGACUGAAUGGUUUGUUUCUCUGCUGUAACAUUCUAUGAUUCCAUCCCUCUUGUCCAGGGCUAAAUGGCUCGCUGGGACUCAGUCAGAUCCAGUGGCAUGCUCUUCUCUAAUCCUGCAGCUGCUAAAACUAUCUGUGAGGACCAGAUACAAGAAGCAAUACUGCUAUAUGUCAAAGGAGAGAAUUAGCUGAAGGGGGACCAGGAAAAGCAGAAAAUGUGAUCAGACAGAAGGAGAAGAUUAGGGCGAAAGCUAUAUUCAUGUUAAAGGUAUAUGAAUCAACAAUAAAUAUUUUGGCAAUAACGGAGUGGGUGUUCAGAAGGAGGUUUCAACCAACGAAGGAUGUAAUCAAAGAGAGGUGGCAAAUGGUACCUUCAUAUUUGGAGAAUGUCUCAGUAGGUCAAACUAUUCUGCUUGAGGCUGUAGAAAUUACAGCAGCCAUUAAUCUUUUUGUUCCAGUAUCUUUCCAGGCACCUUCAGGAGAUUACAAUGGAAUUGGCCAAGGCAUCAUGUCCAUCUGCAUUCAGGAGAAGGGUUGGCAGAGGGUCAUCUACCAUGACAAGAAUGGCCUAUUCUCUAGGCUGUGGAUGAGGAGAAAUUCCAACAGCCUGCAGUGGUAUCCCAGCAUUGGCAAGCAAUGUUCUCAAC